CUCCUUCCCAGAUCUUCUCGGCUUAGCGGCUGAAGACUGAUACUGCCCGAUCGCCUCAGAAGCCCCCUAGACCAUCACGGAUGCCGAGCUUCAGGUAACUCUCACAAUGGAAGGUAAGCCCGUCCCCUUCUUAAUCAAUACAGAGGCUACCCGCUCCACAUUACAUUCUUUUCAAGGGCCUGUUUCCCUUGCCUCCAUAACUGUUGUGGGUAUUGACAGCCAGGCUUCUAAACCUCUUAAAACUCCCCAACUCUGGUGCCAACUUAGACAAUACUCUUUUAAGCACUCCUUUUUAGUUAUCCCCACCUGCCCAGUUCCCUUAUUAGGCUGAGACACCUUAACUAAAUUAUCUGCUUCCCUGACUAUUCCUGGACUACAGCUAUAUCUCAUUGCCGCCCUUCUUCCCAAUCCAAAGCCUCCUUUGCGUCCUCCUCUUGUAUCCCCCCACCUUAACCCACAAGUAUAAGAUACCUCUACUCCCUCCUUGGCGACUGAUCAUGCACCCCUUACCAUCUCAUUAAAACCUAAUCACCCUUACCCCACUCGACACCAAUAUCCCAUCCCGCAGCACGCUUUAAAAAGAUUAAAGCCUGUUAUCACUCGCCUGCUACAGCAUGGCCUUUUAAAGCCUAUAAACUCUCCUUACAAUUCCCCCAUUUUACCUGUCCUAAAACCAGACAAGCCUUACAAGUUAGUUCAGGAUCUGCGCCUUAUCAACCAAAUUGUUUUGCCUAUCCACCCCGUGGUGCCAAACCCAUAUACUCUCCUAUCCUCAAUACCUGCCUCUACAACCCAUUAUUCUGUUCUGGAUCUCAAACAUGCUUUCUUUACUAUUCCUUUGCACCCUUAAUCCCAGCCUCUCUUUGCUUUCACUUGGACUGACCCUGACACCCAUCAAGCUCAGCAAAUGACCCAGGCUGUACUGCCGCAAAGCUUCACAGACAGCCCCCAUUACUUUAAUCAAGCCCAAAUUUCUUCCUCAUCUGUUACUUAUCUCGGCAUAAUUCUCAUAAUAACACACGUGCUCUCCCUGCCAAUCGUAUCCGACUGAUCUCUCAAACCCCAGCACCUUCUACAAAACAACUCCUUUCCCUCCUAGGCAUGGUUAGCGCGGUCAGAAUUCUUACACAAGAGCCAGGACCACACCCUGUAGCCUUUCUGUCCAAACAACUUGACCUUACUGUUUUAGCCUAGCCCUCAUGUCUGCGUGCAGCGGCUGCCACUGCUUUAAUACUUUUAGAGGCUCUCAAAAUCACAAACUAUGCUCAACUAACUCUCUACAGUUCUCAUAACUUCCAAAAUCUAUUUUCUUCCUCAUACCUGACGCAUAUACUUUCUGCUCACCGGCUCCUUCAGCUGUACUCACUCUUUAAGUCCCACAAUUACCAUUCUUCCUGGCCUGGACUUCAAUCUGGCCUCUCACAUUAUUCCUGAUACCACACCUGACCCCCAUGACUGUAUCUCUCUGAUCCACCUGAUAUUCACCCCAUUUCCCCAAAUUUCCUUCUUUCCUGUUCCUCACCCUGAUCAUGCUUGAUUUAUUAAUGGCAGUUCCACCAGGCCUAAUCGCCGCACACCAGCAAAGGCAGGUUAUGCUAUAGUACAAGCCACUAGCCCGCCUCUUAGAACCUCUCAUUUCCUUUCCAUCGUGGAAAUCUAUCCUCAAGGAAAUAACUUCUCAGUGUUCCAUCUGCUAUUCUACUACUCCUCAGGGAUUAUUCAGGCCCCCUCCCUUCCCUACACAUCAAGCUCGAGGAUUUGCCCCCACCCAGGACUGGCAAAUUAGCUUUACUCAACAUGCCCGAGUCAAGAGACUAAAAUACCUCUUAGUCUAAAUAGACACUUUCACUGAAUAAGUAAAGGCCUUUCCUACAGGGUCUGAGAAGGCCACCGCAGUCAUUUCUUCCCUUCUGUCAGACAUAAUUCCUCAGUUUAGCCUUCCCACCUCUAUACAGCCUGAUAACAGACCAGCCUUUAUUAGUCAAAUCAGCCAAGCAGUUUUUCAGGCUCUUAGUAUUCAGUGAAACCUUUAUAUCCCUUACGGUCCUCCGUCUUCAAGAAAAGUAGAAUGGACUAAAGGUCUUUUAAAAACACACCUCACCAAGCUCAGCCACCAACUUAAAAAGGACUGGACAAUACUUUUACCACUUUCGCUUCUCAGAAUUCAGGCCUGUUCUCGGAAUGCUACAGGGUACAGCCCAUUUAAGCUCCUGUAUAGACGCUCCUUUUUAUUAGGCCCCAGUCUCAUUCGACACCAGACCAACUUAGACUGUGCCCAUAAAAACUUGUCAUCCCUACUAUAUUCUGUCUAGUCAUACUCCUAUUCACCAUUCUCAACUACUCAUACAUGCCCUGCUCUUGUUUACACUGCCGGUUUACACUGUUUCUCCAAGCCAUCACAGCUGAUAUCUCCUGGUGCUAUCCCCAAACUGCCACUCUAAACUCUUGAAGUAAAUAAAUAAUCUUUGCUGGCAGGACUAUGCUGAAUGUCCUUAGGCACUCUCUAAUCAGAUGUCCUAGGUCCUCCCAAUUCUUAGACCUUUUAUACCUGUUUUUCUCCUUCUCUUAUUCCAUUUAGUUUUUCAAUUCAUACAAAACCGUAUCCAGGCCAUCACCAAUCAUUCUAUACGACAAAUGUUUCUUCUAACAACCCCACAAUAUCACCCCUUACCACAAGACCUCCCUUCAGCUUAAUCUCUCCCACUCUAGGUUCCCACACCGCCCCUAAUCCCGCUUGAAGCAGCCCUGAGAAACAUCGCCCAUUCUCUCUCCAUACCACCCCCCAAAAAUUUUCACUGCCCCGACACUUCAACACUAUUUUGUUUUAUUUUUCUUAUUAAUAUAAGAAGGCAGGAACGUCAGGCCUCUGAGCCCAAGCCAAGCCAUCGCAUCCCCUGUGACUUGCACAUAUACACCCAGAUGGCCUGAAGUAACUGAAGAAUCACAAAAGAAGUGAAAAGGCCCUGCCCCGCCUUAACUGAUGACAUUCCACCAUUGUGAUUUGUUCCUGCCCCACCUUAACUGAGUGAUUAACCCUGUGAAUUUCCUUCUCCUGGCUCAGAAGCUCCCCCACUGCACCUUGUGACCCCCGCCCCUGCCCACCAGAGAACAACCCCCUUUGACUGUAAUUUUCCAUUACCUUCCCAAAUCCUAUAAAACGGCCCCACCCUUAUUUCCCUUCACUGACUCUCUUUUUGGACUCAGCCCACCUGCACCCAGGUGAAAUAAACAGCUUUAUUGCUCACACAAAGCCUGUUUGGUGGUCUCUUCACAUGGACGCGCAUGAAACCUGGGACUCUGGAAGUGGAACUGAGAAAGAAAAGUCAGUUUUGGUCUGGGUGCCUGAACAUCAUGAUGGAAAACUUAGGGGGUUUCUGGUGGAGUGUUUUGUCAUGUUACUGGUAAAGCAGAGGAGACUGAUUAUUGGUGAUAAAAGCAAGAAUGGAGCAGACCUGCAGAGAAAUGACCCUGAAUUGCCUGGAAGUGUUUUAAAGUGGGAAUCUAGUCAGGUGAAGAUCGAAAGCAAACAGAAGUCGCUGUGAGUAGAUAUGAAAAAGCAAGAAGGCAAAGCUGAGAGAAACAGAUGCUACCCACAGGGCAGCG
rnacentral:lncRNA from 10 species